rnacentral:rRNA from 1 species
UAAUACGGAGGGUGCAAGCGUUUAAUCGGAAUUACUGGGCGUAAAGCGCACGCAGGCGGUUUGUUAAGUCAGAUGUGAAAUCCCCGCGCUUAACGUGGGAACUGCAUUUGAAACUGGCAAGCUAGAGUCUUGUAGAGGGGGGUAGAAUUCCAGGUGUAGCGGUGAAAUGCGUAGAGAUCUGGAGGAAUACCGGUGGCGAAGGCGGCCCCCUGGACAAAGACUGACGCUCAGGUGCGAAAGCGUGGGGAGCAAACAGGAUUAGAUACCCUGGUAGUCCACGCUGUAAACGAUGUCGACUUGGAGGUUGUGCCCUUGAGGCGUGGCUUCCGGAGCUAACGCGUUAAGUCGACCGCCUGGGGAGUACGGCCGCAAGGUUAAAACUCAAAUGAAUUGACGGGGGCCCGCACAAGCGGUGGAGCAUGUGGUUUAAUUCGAUGCAACGCGAAUAACCUUACCUACUCUUGACAUCCACGGAAUUCGCCAGAGAUGGGUUAGUGCCUUCGGGAACCGUGAGACAGGUGCUGCAUGGCUGUCGUCAGCUCGUGUUGUGAAAUGUUGGGUUAAGUCCCGCAACGAGCGCAACCCUUAUCCUUUGUUGCCAGCACGUAAUGGUGGGAACUCAAAGGAGACCGCCGGUGAUAAACCGGAGGAAGGUGGGGAAGACGUCAAGUCAUCAUGGCCCUUACGAGUAGGGUUACACACGUGUAGACAAUGGCAUAUACAAAGAGAAGCGAACUCGCGAGAGCAAGCGGACCUCAUAAAGUAUGUCGUAGUCCGGAUUGGAGUCAGCACCUCGACUCCACGAAGUCGGAAUGCGCUAGCUAAUCAGUACGCUCAGUAAGCUUCCGGUGGCCCGCCCAAAAAAAAAACGC